UGCUAUCAGCUGGGAGCAAUACAGACCCACGUGAAUUCCCAGCCAAUGACGGAACAGGGAGGAGACAUGACAAACAUAAACAAAACACACGUGUCCCAAUGUCACUACGGUCAACAGCGGAAAAGCAGGUGCUCGCGCAUUCACGCUUAGAGCACGCUGCUUCAAGGGGGAAUCGUGACAUUAUGUUAAUGGUAGCAGCUGAAUAAACACCAUUUUAGCUUAGUUAUAGCAUGAACAUUAUGGAAAGACAUGCUUACAACUCCAAAGAAAAUGUUCUACAUAUAGUAUCUUGUUAGUUGGUUAUAUAAGAUUCAUAAAGUAGGCUUUACAUAUCCUCGAUAACAUGAACAUUCUGCACAUUUUAAAUAUAUUCUCCUUUACUCAGAUAAACAAAUACAAGUGUCACAGCUGGACAUCACUCUAUUCAUGUUCUGUUAAACUUUGGAUAUCAGAGAAGACCCCAGUACAAAUAACACACACCAGGUUCUCUACAUCUCCACUGCUCCUGUUGGCAGCUGCUUCCUGUGUUUACUGUGUUCAACUGAUUCAACCUGAAACAACGAUUUUAUCCCCUGGUCAGUCAAUGACUCUGACCUGUAAAGUGUCUGGAUAUUCAGUAAGUGAUGGCAGCUACUGGACACACUGGAUACGACAACCUGCAGGAAAAGCUCUGGAGUAUAUCGGACAAAUAUCUGGUAGUGGUAUCACUUACUACAGUGAGAAACUGAAAAGCAGGUUUCAGGUUUCCAAAGACACGUCCAACAGCACAGUAACAUUAACAGGGCAGAACAUGCAGAUUGAAGACACAGCUGUGUAUUACUGCGCCCGUAAACCACAGUGAGACAGAUCAAGAACAUCCCUGUACAAAAACACCCAGUACAGAAAAGUGAUGUAUUAGCAAAAGCAAUACCAUAGCAAUACAAUGUUUCAUCUCUGUUUGAAAUUUUAUGUUUCUCAUAAGUGUAAGAAGACAUCAGCUAGCAAAUAGUCAGUUGAUUUGCUGAGUUUGUUAAAUUUUAACAUUUUAACAUAAAUUGGUUAGAAUUCAAAUUGACCAAGAACUGUGCAGUGCUCCAAUGAAAAACUUCAUGUUUUAUCUUUCUUUAUCUGAGUAUCAUAACUUUUGUGCAGUGAUGUACUGACCUAAAGAGAUGAAAAAUCAGAUUUUGGCUAAAUAGGGUUUUCUGUCUAACAUUUAGAAGCCUCAACAUUGAUACACUAUAAAUAUAUUUCACCAAAACAACAUGAAAUGAUUUACUUUCUAAUCUUGCCUAGGCUUUCUUCCUGCAGAGGCCAUGUUGGAUAAGGAACCAGUUUAACAACAGCAGUGAUUAAAACAGUCAGUUUGAUAAAAAAUAUCUAAAACUUUGUGAGCUAAGUGUGAGUUCCUCACACAUUUAAUGGUUACACUUUGAUCAAGUUUUAGGCUACUUUUGUAUCUUAUUGAAAGACAUAAGGUUAAUAAAUUCAGUUUAUAAACAGAUACCAUCAGUCAGAAUGUAUGUGAUGCUCCUGUACCACAGUCAGAAUGAAAUCUUUAACUGCAUUUUCUUCCCCUUUUCACAUUUAAACUAUAUGAAAAUUAACAGGACAAAAUCUAAAUUGGUGGAGAUUUCUGCAGAGAAAAUAUAUCACCUACAUGAUAUAAAAUAAAUGUAUUAAUAAAGAAUAAAAUAC